GCGGCCGGCAGAUGGCGAAGGAGGGGCGCGAGGAGGCGGCCACUGUUGAGGGGCGGGGCGUCCCGCCGAGAGUCUGGGUGCGAUGAGGUCCGGGGAAUGAGGUGAUUCGCCCAAAAGCACACUACAAAUUGGAGUCACCAGCAGGUCUGCUAUUUUGCCACUAAACCAAUCUGCCGGUCACACCUUGGCUGUAAAGUGUCCUAACAGCCACCUACUUAUGAUUACUGCUUUCUUACCAAUAACCUCCCCAGCCUGUUGUGUGGCUCCUACAUCUUGAACAAAAGCGACCAAGGCAUACAUCUGUAGGAGACCAGAAUAUGCCACCCCAAAAUAUGCCUCCUUGGCCUAAGGAUUAUUCUGAGCUAGUAAUUUUGAGAAACAGAAGCUAUGAAAACAGCAUAAGCUACCCCUUUGAAAGAGAAAUUCACCCCGGCCACCACCCCGUCUGGGAAGUGAGGAGCGUCUCUGCCCAGCCGCCCCGUCUGAGAAGUGAGGAGCCCCUCCGCCCGGCAGCCGCCCCGUCUGGGAAACCUCGCACUGGAUGGAUCAGCUGGCACCACCCAGAUCGAUAAACUGGCUCAUCAGAUCUUGUGGCCCCCACCCAGGAACUGACUCAAGCACAAGACAGCUUCAAUUCCCUAUGAUUUCAUCUCUGACCCGAUCAAUCAGCACUCCUGACUCACUGGAUGCCACCCACCCUCCAAAUUAUCCUUAAAAACUGUGACCUCCAAAUGCUUGGGGAGACUCAUUUGAGUAAUAAAAAAAGUCCCAGUUUCCC
rnacentral:lncRNA from 1 species